rnacentral:hammerhead_ribozyme from 1 species
GUCCAAAUGACGAGUUCCAAACAGGACGAAACGCGCGUCCUGGAU